UAUUGGGCGUAAAGAGCUCGUAGGCGGUUUGUCGCGUCUGUCGUGAAAGUCCGGGGCUUAACCCCGGAUCUGCGGUGGGUAUGGGCAGACUAGAGUGCAGUAGGGGAGACUGGAAUUCCUGGUGUAGCGGUGGAAUGCGCAGAUAUCAGGAGGAACACCGAUGGCGAAGGCAGGUCUCUGGGCUGUAACUGACGCUGAGGAGCGAAAGCAUGGGGAGCGAACAGGAUUAGAUACCCUGGUAGUCCAUGCCGUAAACGUUGGGCACUAGGUGUGGGGAACAUUCCACGUUUUCCGCGCCGUAGCUAACGCAUUAAGUGCCCCGCCUGGGGAGUACGGCCGCAAGGCUAAAACUCAAAGGAAUUGACGGGGGCCCGCACAAGCGGCGGAGCAUGCGGAUUAAUUCGAUGCAACGCGAAGAACCUUACCAAGGCUUGACAUGUUCUCGUUCGCCGUAGAGAUACGGUUUCCCCUUUGGGGCGGGUUCACAGGUGGUGCAUGGUUGUCGUCAGCUCGUGUCGUGAGAUGUUGGGUUAAGUCCCGCAACGAGCGCAACCCUCGUUCCAUGUUGCCAGCACUUCGGGUGGGGACUCAUGGAAGACUGCCGGGGUCAACUCGGAGGAAGGUGGGGACGACGUCAAAUCAUCAUGCCCCUUAUGUCUUGGGCUUCACGCAUGCUACAAUGGCCGGUACAAUGGGUUGCGAUACUGUGAGGUGGAGCUAAUCCCUAAAAGCCGGUCUCAGUUCGGAUUGGGGUCUGCAACUCGACCCCAUGAAGUUGGAGUCGCUAGUAAUCGUAGAUCAGCAACGCUACGGUGAAUACGUUCCCGGGCCUUGUACACACCGCCCGUCAAGUCACGAAAGUCGGUA
rnacentral:rRNA from 1 species